rnacentral:rRNA from 1 species
AUGGUGUCGAGGACGCCCACGAAGGCGCCGGCGACCAGGCCCGGCACCGGCACCGGCAGCCCCGCGAAGCCGCCGUCCCCGGCGGCGAGGCGCCGCCAGGCCCUUCGUGGGGGUCGCCGCCCGUCCUCCACGAAGCGGAGGGCGUCCCCGCUCAAGUCCCUCGCGGCCGCCCCCGCAGCCGUGGCCUCCUCCUUCGGCCGCUCCGUGCGCUUCUGCCGCCGCCGCCUCAUCAAGGUCUUCGCCCGCCUCGCCGUCAUCGGCUCCCCGUCCAAGCGCCGGGCCGCGACCGCGGGGUUCCAGCGCCUCCGCUCCUCCUCGCCCCCGCCCACGCCGCACUUCUCCCCCCGCGCUCAGCGGCCCGGCAGGGUCCACGCCGCCGCGCUCCCGCCGCCGUCGGAUCCGGAAAAGAAGACUCUUUUUCUGGACCUGGACGAGACGCUCAUCCACUCCCAGACCGACCCGGCGCCGGCGCGCUACGACUUCACCGUGCGGCCGGUCAUCUGCGGCAAGGCGGUCACCUUCUACGUCUGCAAGCGCCCGGGCGUCGACGACUUCCUCCGCGCGGCGGCGGAGGCCUUCGAGGUCGUCAUCUUCACCGCGGGGCUGGAGCAGUACGCCUCCCUCGUGCUCGACCGCCUCGACCCCACGGGCGCGCUCAUCGCGCACCGCCUGUACCGCAGCGCCUGCCGAGACGACGGCGACGGCAGGCUCGUCAAGGACCUGUCGGCCACUGGCCGGGCUCCGGACUGCGCCAUCAUCGUCGACGACAACCCAAACGCCUACUCCCUGCAGCCAGAGAACGCCCUCCCAGUGGCGCCCUUCAUCGACGACGCCAAUGACCAGGAGCUGGAGAAGGUCAUGCGAUUCUUGGACGCCGCCGCAGGGUUCGACGAUACCAGGGAGGCCAUCAGGUACUACAAGGAUCUCGCCACAGCGAAGUGA